CAGCAGCCGCGGGAAUACGUAGGUGGCAAGCGUUGUCCGGAAUUAUUGGGCGUAAAGGGCUCGCAGGCGGUUUCUUAAGUCUGAUGUGAAAGCCCCCGGCUCAACCGGGGAGGGUCAUUGGAAACUGGGAAACUUGAGUGCAGAAGAGGAGAGUGGAAUUCCACGUGUAGCGGUGAAAUGCGUAGAGAUGUGGAGGAACACCAGUGGCGAAGGCGACUCUCUGGUCUGUAACUGACGCUGAGGAGCGAAAGUGUGGGGAGCGAACAGGAUUAGAUACCCGCGUAGUCCCUGUCUCUUAUAC
rnacentral:rRNA from 1 species